GGAUGUGAGGGCAAUCUGGCUGCGACAUCUGUCACCCCCAUUGAUCGCCAGGGUUGAUUCAGCUGAUCUGGCUGGCUAGGCGGGUGCCCCCUUCCUCCCUCACUGCUCCAUGUGCGUCCCUCCCGAAGCUGCGCACUCGGUCGAAGAGGACGGCCUUCCCCAAAUAGAGACGGACCGGUCUUCGGUCGAGGGUAUAUGAGUAGCUGCGCUCCCCUGCUAGAACCUCCAAACAAGCUCUCAAGACAGGUGCACUGUUCAGGUAAGCUGGCUUGCCAGCCCUGGCUUACUUCCAAGGAACCGCCUAUACUACCUACCCAGACCUCAAACUACCCAUCUUUCUU
ensembl:misc_RNA 7SK 7SK RNA